AGAGUUUGAUCCUGGCUCAGAGCGAACGCUGGCGGCAGGCUUAACACAUGCAAGUCGAGCGCCCCGCAAGGGGAGCGGCAGACGGGAGAGUAACACGUGGGAACGCGCCCUUCGGUUCGGAAUAACUCAGGGAAACUUGAGCUAAUACCGGAUACGCCCUAACGGGGAAAGAUUUAUUGCCGAAGGAACGGCCCGCGUCUGAUUAGCUAGUUGGUGAGGUAAUGGCUCACCAAGGCGACGAUCAGUAGCUGGUCUGAGAGGAUGACCAGCCUCACUGGGACUGAGACACGGCCCAGACUCCUACGGGAGGCAGCAGUGGGGAAUAUUGGACAAUGGGCGCAAGCCUGAUCCAGCCAUGCCGCGUGGAUGAUGAAGGCCUUAGGGUUGUAAAGUCCUUUUAACGGGGAAGAUAA
rnacentral:rRNA from 1 species